GAUGAACGCUGGCGGCGUGCCUAAUACAUGCAAGUCGAGCGAACGGACGAGAAGCUUGCUUCUCUGAUGUUAGCGGCGGACGGGUGAGUAACACGUGGAUAACCUACCUAUAAGACUGGGAUAACUUCGGGAAACCGGAGCUAAUACCGGAUGAUAUUUUGAACCGCAUGGUUCAAAAGUGAAAGACGGUCUUGCUGUCACUUAUAGAUGGAUCCGCGCUGCAUUAGCUAGUUGGUAAGGUAACGGCUUACCAAGGCAACGAUGCAUAGCCGACCUGAGAGGGUGAUCGGCCACACUGGAACUGAGACACGGUCCAGACUCCUGCGGGAGGCAGCAGUAGGGAAUCUUCCGCAAUGGGCGAAAGCCUGACGGAGCAACGCCGCGUGAGUGAUGAAGGUCUUCGGAUCGUAAAACUCUGUUAUUAGGGAAGAACAUAUGUGUAAGUAACUGUGCACAUCUUGACGGUACCUAAUCAGAAAGCCACGGCUAACUACGUG
rnacentral:rRNA from 1 species